CAGUAGCCGCGGUAAUACGUAGGGUGCAAGCGUUAAUCGGAAUUACUGGGCGUAAAGCGUGCGCAGGCGGUUAUAUAAGUCAGAUGUGAAAUCCCCGGGCUCAACCUGGGAACUGCAUUUGAGACUGCAUGGCUAGAGUGUGUCAGAGGGGGGUAGAAUUCCACGUGUAGCAGUGAAAUGCGUAGAUAUGUGGAGGAAUACCGAUGGCGAAGGCAGCCCCCUGGGAUAACACUGACGCUCAUGCACGAAAGCGUGGGGAGCAAACAGGAUUAGAUACCCCCGUAGUCCCUGUCUCUUAUAC
rnacentral:rRNA from 1 species